UACGGAGGGGGCUAGCGUUGUUCGGAAUUACUGGGCGUAAAGCGCACGUAGGCGGCUUUGCAAGUUAGGGGUGAAAGCCCGGGGCUCAACUCCGGAAUUGCCUUUAAAACUGCAUCGCUAGAAUUGUGGAGAGGUAAGUGGAAUUCCGAGUGUAGAGGUGAAAUUCGUAGAUAUUCGGAAGAACACCAGUGGCGAAGGCGACUUACUGGACACAUAUUGACGCUGAGGUGCGAGAGCGUGGGGAGCAAACAGG
rnacentral:rRNA from 1 species